CUAUGCUUUAGACCAAGGGACUAGACCGAAGGUGUCCUAACCUGUUCCUAAGGGGCCACUUGUCCUGCAGGGUUUAGUUCCAAUCCUAAUUAAACACACCUAAAUAAGAUAAUCAAGGUCUUUAGGAUUACUAGAAAGUUACAGAAAGGUGAGUUUGAUCAAAGUUGGAGCUAAAAGUGGACCUCGAAGAACUUCUGAACUUCAGACCAAAGGUAUCCAAACCUAUUCCUCAAGGGCCACUUAUCCAGCUGAGUUUAGCUUUAACCCUAAUUAAACACACUUGAACAAGCUAAUCAAGGUCUUUGGGAUCAGUAGAAAGUUACAGAAAGAGGAGUUCAAUCAAGCUUG